rnacentral:tRNA from 1 species
GCUGGGGUGGCCGAGAGGCGAGGCACCGGACUCAUGAUCCGGCUCACGCGGGUUCGACUCCCGCCCCCAGUAC